AACGCAAAUUGCACUUUCUGGAUAGGCCAGGGAGUAUGCCUCUUUGAGCAUCGUUUCUACCCAACCUCGUUAGCUUUCUUGUGAAAACAAGAGAGCGAGCGGAUAAUGCGCUUCUCGCUGGAAACAGGGAGUGGCGUUAAGAAGAGCGAGCUCUUUUCAUAGUGUUAGACCCGCAAGGGGCGCCUUAUAGUUUUAUAUUAGGUUAUCACUUGGAUGUAGAUAAAUUUAUUUAUAUGACAUUCAAUAUAAAAUCUAAUCGAAUUACUAGGCUAAGAUACUUAGAAUAUGAGUUUCGAUGAAAAUUAACUUGAUAAUUUAUUUAUCAUUUUGAAUUAGAUCUCAAAUGAAGCAAGAUUACCCGCUGAACUUAA
rnacentral:misc_RNA from 1 species